rnacentral:misc_RNA from 1 species
GAUGAAGAACGUAGCGAAAUGCGAUAAGUAGUGUGAAUUGCAGACUUUAGUGAAUCAUCGAAUCUUUGAACGCACAUUGCGCCCCUUGGUAUUCCAUGGGGCAUGCCUGUUCGAGCGUCAUUUGUACCUUCAAGCUUUGCUUGGUGUUGGGUGUUUGUCUCGCCUUUGCGUGUAGACUCGCCUUAAAAUAAUUGGCAGCCGGCGUAUUGAUUUCGGAGCGCAGUACAUCUCGCGCUUUGCACUCAUAACGACAGCGUCCAAAAGUACAUUUUACACUCUUGACCUCGGAUCAGGUAGGGAUACCCGCUGAACUUAAGCAUAUCAAUAAGCGGAGGA